rnacentral:rRNA from 1 species
GACGAACGCUGGCGGCGUGCCUAACACAUGCAAGUCGAACGAAGCUUUGAGGAGCUUGCUCUUUAAAGCUUAGUGGCGGACGGGUGAGUAACGCGUGAGCAACCUGCCUCUCAGAGGGGGAUAACGUUUUGAAAAGAACGCUAAUACCGCAUAACAUAUCGGAACCGCAUGAUUCUGAUAUCAAAGGAGCAAUCCGCUGAGAGAUGGGCUCGCGUCCGAUUAGUUAGUUGGUGAGGUAACGGCUCACCAAGACUACGAUCGGUAGCCGGACUGAGAGGUUGAUCGGCCACAUUGGGACUGAGACACGGCCCAGACUCCUACGGGAGGCAGCAGUGGGGGAUAUUGCGCAAUGGGGGAAACCCUGACGCAGCAACGCCGCGUGAAGGAAGAAGGUCUUCGGAUUGUAAACUUCUUUUGUCAGGGACGAAGAAAGUGACGGUACCUGACGAAUAAGCU